rnacentral:lncRNA from 1 species
UGGGGAGAAGAACAGCCGGCUGCAGGCCCUGCCCUGCUCCCACAUCUUUCAUCUCAGUGACUUUCCUGGAAAGAAGACACAAGCCAGGGCCUGGCGUAAAUCUCGCCUGGGUGAGUGAAUGCAGCCUUGGCCUCCACAGAUGCCUGCAAAACAACGGCACUAGGAGUUGCCCCAACUGCCGCCGCUCCUCCAUGAAGCCAGGCUUUGUGUGACCUCAGUGGCCAUCUUGGCACCUCCACCAUCAAGCUGGAGGCCCUGGUGAAAUCCUAGGGUAGCAGCCAGGACCUCCACAGCCAACUCAGGGCCAGAGGCCUGCCUGCUGCUCCUCUGGGCCUACCUCCCCUCCCUUGCCUCUUUGUACUUUGUUCUUUAUAGAAAAAUAAAAUGUUUCUACCUGG